CAAGUCUUACCUUUGGGAGAGUAUGAGACAUAUAAGACUUGUCCGUAAUAUGAGGGCUCAAAGUGAUCCAUGGUUUGCUGAUUAUCUUCUGCGUGUUGGGAAUGGCACCGAAGAUACUAUGGAUGAUGGUUACAUACGAUUCCCAGAUGAGAUUUGUGUACCAUAUACCGGCGUUGCCUCUGAUAUUGACAAGCUUAUUGAAAGUGUUUUCCCGAUGCCGCUAGAUGAAAACCUCUUGGAUCCAAACUACAUAACGUCCCGAGCAAUUCUAUCAACUCGGAAUGAGUACGUUGACAAAAUCAAUAUGAGGAUGAUUGAGAGAUUUCCUGGGGAGGAGAUGAUAUACUACAGUUUUGAUCGCGCGGAGGAUGAUCCACACAACUACUACCCUGCAGAAUUCUUGAAUUCAUUGACACCUAAUGGUAUACCUCCCCAUAUCCUCAAGUUGAAGAUAAUUGUUCUAUUAUAUUGUUACGGAACAUUGACCCAGCGAGUGGGUUGUGCAACGGGACGAGGCUGAUUGUCUGAGGGUUCAUGAGGAAUGCAAUUGAUGCUGAGAUUGUGCUGGGCCAGCAUGCCGGUAAGAGGGUGUUCCUUCCUCGAAUUCCUCUUUGCCCAUCAGAUGAUGAGAUGUUUCCAUUUAGGUUCAAGAGGAAGCAGUUUCCAGUCAGGCUUAGCUUUGCUAUGACCAUUAACAAGGCACAGGGACAAACUAUACCAAAUGUUGGUGUAUACCUCCCUGAACCGGUAUUUUCACACGGGCAACUCUAUGUUGCUCUUUCUAGAGCUAUAUCAAGAAGUAAUAUGAAGAUUCUUACUGUCCCAGAAAAGCAAAAGGAAGGCCAAACCAACUCCAAUGCAAAUUUUACAAAGAACAUAGUCUACAAAGAAGUUCUCAGCAUGUAGUUCAAGGAGAGCAGAUGGAUGAUGUGAGAGGCCCAAAACUAAUAUGGUUGGCAUAAAUGUUUUGAGCAAACAACUAAAGAGGAGUUCACAGGGCUUGCAUUUGACGAAGCCACUGUUCGAAGGAUGCUGGCACAUGGCACAUCAUUUUGCCAUAGUAAUCUUGCUUAUGGAGCCCGAUUAUUUUGGUUGUACUUGUAUGUACUCAUGUAUGCAAGUUAUGCACCAAGUGUUUUAUUUUA